rnacentral:lncRNA from 1 species
CCAUCGAUUAGUAGCUUCUAUGGCUGAGCCCCCUUGAGUUACUGGAGGCCUACACUCCAUCCGGUUGGGAGCUUGAAGGUUGAAGGUGGGUAUCUGACCUGCCUCUACAGGGCUAACUCCGAAUCUGACCUGUCUACCCUGGGUAGGAGAAGCCCGUUGGAUGGGUAGUGGACUUGCCCUUUGCCAGCAUAGAAGCGGUGGACUGCACUUAUCGAGCCUACACUUAUCGGACAUCGAACAAAAGGACCUAAGCCCGUACACGCAUGAUUGUACGCAUUAAUGUAGCCUACAUAGAAGCUAGGCUUGGGGACACAAUAUCAGAGGCCUUCAUGAUACGCACCGCCCAAGGCCACUCACUAGAGCAUGGGUUCUAUAUCCGUGGUUUCAAGUUCCACAGGGGCCUAUUUAGGGAACUCGUGGGAUAACUUAACAGGAUAUAAGAAUAGGAGGCUGAUAUCCUGUCUUAGUACCCGUCUUUGUAACAGUUUGUUCCAAGAUAGGCCAAGUAGCCAGAUAAAAGCCCUAUAUAGUUGGUCUACAUUUAUAGGGCCUCGGGACAGGUGCUUAUAGAUGGGUACUAAGGUUCAGAAUGACCUAUAAUUCCA